GACGAACGCUGGCGGCGUGCCUAAUACAUGCAAGUCGAACGCAGUGGGGACGGGUGAGUAACACGUGGGUAACCUCCCAUCAGAGGGGAUAACACUUGGAAACCGGUGCUAAACCGAUACUGAUGGAUGAACCCGCGGUGCAUUAGCUAGUUGGUGAGGUAACGGCUCACCAAGGCCACGAUGCAUAGCAGAACUGAGAGGGGGAUCGGACACACUGGGACUGAGACACGGACCAGAGUCCUACGUGAGGCAGCAGGAGGGAAUCUGCGGAAAUGGACGAAAGUCUGACCGAGCAACGCCGCGUGAGGGAAGAAGGUUUUCGGAUCGUAAAACUCUGUUGUUAGAGAAGCGGUAUCUAACCAGAAAGCCACGGCUAACGACGUGCCAACAGCAGCGGUAAUUC
rnacentral:rRNA from 1 species